UUUCAUCCAUAUAGCUAACUGAACCUCCAGUAUUUUAUAAUUAUGUAUUCCCUAAAUAUUUAUUUUACUGCGUAUUUCCUAAAUAUCUAACACCUAAACUUUACUUUAUUCUACUUUUUAAUUGAUUUUACUGUUGUGUUUCAUGACUUUGUUAUGUUAUAGUAAUAACAUGGAUAGUAAGCCUAAAGAGGUUGCUAUACCCGCAUUGUGGGAAAAAGAUACGAAAAUAAUAUUUUGCGAUCUUUGUAUUAAAGAGAUUGAACGGGGAAAUAGACCAACGAUCCAUUUCAAUAAAGAAGAGUGACAAAACAUUAUAAAAAAUUUCGAGGAAUGUACAGGCAGAGAAUAUGAUAGGUUGCAAAUGAAAAACAAGUGGAACCAAAUGAAGAAGGAAUGAAAAAUAUGGAAGGAAUUGAAAAGGGGUUCUACCGGUCUUGGUUGGGAUCCAAUAAAGCGAACAGUUGAUGCACCCGGGGAAUGGUGGGUUGAAAGACUUGCGGUGGUGCCUGCUGCAAAAAAGUUUAAGCUUUCUGGAAUUGAGCCUGAAUUGGAGGAGAAACUAGACCGCAUGUUUGGGGGAGUGGUUGCAACGGGGAACUAUGCAUGUACCCCAAGCGAGACAGGGUUCGCUGGUAAUGCCGUUAAUUUGGGAACCCCUGGAGGUUCAGUUGAUUUCGUUGACGGCCCCAGCCCAGAUCAGAACGAAUAUGAAACUAUUUCCAGUUCCAAAUGUCGGAGGGUUGUUGAUAAAAGAAAAUUUGGUGUUUCUUCUCUCAGAAACGAGUUAUCCGAGGCAGUUUCUUGUUUCAAAGCAGAAUGUCAGUUUCUCAUUCAAGCACAAUCGCGGAGACACUUGAAAUCCUAAGUGCUACAGCCGAAAUUUAUGCAGAUGAAGAACUGUAUCUGUUCGCAGCAGAAUUGCUAGAAGACCCGGUCCGUAGGGAUUUCUUCGUGCAGAUGUCUGCCGCCCGCAGAGUUGCAUAUAUUCGACGUUUUUACAAUCGUUUGAACAAUUGAUAUAUUUUCUAUUUUUUAU